rnacentral:rRNA from 1 species
UACGAAGGGGGGCUAGCGUUGCUCGGAAUCACUGGGCGUAAAGCGCACGUAGGCGGAUUGCUAAGUCAGGGGUGAAAUCCUGGAGCUCAACUCCAGAACUGCCUUUGAUACUGGCGAUCUUGAGUCCGGGAGAGGUGAGUGGAAUUCCCAGUGUAGAGGUGAAAUUCGUAGAUAUUGGGAAGAACACCAGUGGCGAAGGCGGGCGACCUGGGUCGACACUGACGCUGAGGCGCGAAAGCGUGGGGGAGCAAACAGG